rnacentral:lncRNA from 1 species
CUUAAAUGAAUGCUCAAGCACUCCUUUCCUAGGGCACCUGUCUGCAGUUUUAAUGGGAAGGAAGUAGUAUGGAAAUUGGAUGCACCCAUGAAGAGCACCUGUACUGAGCCCCUGAGCAGGAGACCUGGCAGGGAUGAGGGGCUGCUGUCUUCCCAGAGAAAAGACUCCAGGACCUUGAUGUGGAAGGCAGCCUGUUCUGGGGAAAAAAACAACCAUCUCAAAUAGCACUUGGGCAGUCAUGCCUUGGUAAGAGUCAGAAGAACCAACUUCAGACAGAUGUGUUUCCAUCAUGUGAGUACUUCUUUAUAUCUUCUGUCUCCACCACAUUUGGACUUUUGCUGUCCUUACUCCAGGGAAAAUUUGCCACACUCCACGUGUCCAAAAAGAAACCACCAGAAGCAAGCAAGGUGAAGAAACAUAAACUGGUUGAAAGAAGAUUUGAGGGGU